GGGGUCAACUCGGGGUUUGUCUGGGCUUCCCCGUGCUGUGGUCCUUGGAUUGGUCGCAAAUCUGCCCUUCAUCCUGCUAAUUGUCGCUGGUCUUCUGGUUGUGAUGAUGAUGUCGUCGCCUGUGGGGGGGUCGAUAUCUCAGGGAGAAAUGAUUGGUACAAUGAUCGCGGAGGUGGGGAUAUUUGGCUUCCAUGCAAUAUCUUGCUUCGUUAUCAUUCCAGCUUUAGCACUGGAUGUCUGGAGGGAUGACCGAUCAGACACAAAAGCAGGACUUGGGGUUGCAGAUUGUUGAGACAUAACUCUGAACUUGAAGGUGUGAAGAAAGGCAAGGGAGAUAGAAAAGACUUCGCUGGAGAUUAUGGCUGUUGACAAUUACUGGAUUAUAAUUACUUGUAUCCACGUCUGUAUAUUGGUCCACUGCUAGUAUUGCAUACUCCAUGUCCUAGGAUCUCUCCGUUGUGCUGUUUCAAUGUUCACUUGCUGCUGGAAGGCUGGAAUACAUGAGCUGACAGUGAGGGGUAACACCCUCCCAGAGGAGAGAGGACAAUGCUUUUCUAGGCGUAUAGAAUUUGCCAUGUUUGCAGUUCUAUGUUGGGCGACUAUAUGUUUGCAAGUGGUUGGGAAUGUGGUAGUCAUCAUAGAACGUUAUGUCUGUGGCAAUCUCAUAUGUUACAUCCCUACAGUUAACUAUCUUUGUUUCUUUCUUGUGGAUAUCGAUUGGGCCAAACUCUAAUGCUUCAAUUUUGAAGUAUGCAAUGGUGAUAUUGAAUCUGUUGCCACAAAUGUCUAAA